rnacentral:rRNA from 1 species
GACGAACGCUGGCGGCGUGCUUAACACAUGCAAGUCGAACGGAAAGGCCCUGCUUUUGUGGGGUGCUCGAGUGGCGAACGGGUGAGUAACACGUGAGUAACCUGCCCUUGACUUUGGGAUAACUUCAGGAAACUGGGGCUAAUACCGGAUAGGAGCUCCUGCUGCAUGGUGGGGGUUGGAAAGUUUCGGCGGUUGGGGAUGGACUCGCGGCUUAUCAACUUGUUGGUGGGGUAGUGGCUUACCAAGGCUUUGACGGGUAGCCGGCCUGCGAGGGUGACCGGCCACAUUGGGACUGAGAGACGGCCCAGACUCCUACGGGAGGCAGCAGUGGGGAAUAUUGCACAAUGGGCGGAAGCCUGAUGCAGCAACGCCGCGUGCGGGAUGACGGCCUUCGGGUUGUAAACCGCUUUCGCCUGUGACGAAGCGUGAGUGACGGUAAUGGGUAAAGAAGCACCGGCUAACUACGUG